UUUAUUUAUUUAUAAUUUUAUUUACAAUAAAAUUUUAUUUUUUUAAUUAAAAUUAAAUAA
rnacentral:tRNA from 1 species